rnacentral:misc_RNA from 1 species
CGCACAUUGCGCCCCUCGGUAUUCCGUGGGGCAUGCCUGUUCGAGCGUCAUCUACACCCUCAAGCUCUGCUUGGUGUUGGGCGUCUGUCCUGCCUCCGGGCGCGGACUCGCCCCAAAGGUAUUGGCAGCGGUCUACGACCCCUCCCGCGCAGCACAUUGCGCUUCUCGGGGCGGCCCGGCCCGCGUCCACAAAGCCCAUAUCGUCUUUUGACCUCGGAUCAGGUAGGGAUACCCGCUGAACUUAA